GGCAGUAUGGCUCAGUGGUAGAGCACCUGUCUAGCAAACACCAGGCUCUGAGAUCAAACCUCAAUACUUCUA
rnacentral:tRNA from 1 species